rnacentral:rRNA from 1 species
AUUGAACGCUGGCGGCAGGCCUAACACAUGCAAGUCGAACGAGUGGCGGACUGGUGAGUAAUGUCUGGGAAACUUCCUGAUGGAGGGUGAUAACUACUUGAAACGGUAGCUAAUACCGCAUACCAUCGGAUGUUCCCAUAUGGGAUUAGCUAGUAGGUGGGGUACAGGCUCACCUAGGCGACGAUCCCUAGCGGGUCUGAGAGGAUGACCAGCAAAACUGGAACGGAGAAACGGUCCAGACUCCUACGGGAGGAAGCAGUGGGGAAUAUUGCACAAUGGGCGCAAGCCUGAUGCAGCCAUGCCGCGUGUAUGAAGAAGGCCUUAGGGGUGUAAAGUACUUUCAGCGGGGAGGCGUUACCCGCAGAAGAAGCACCGGCUAACUACGUGCCAGCAGCCGCGGUAAUUC